GAAAGUGUAAAAUUUUGACCAUACAACUAAACAUGGAUAGUCAUGAUUAAGAGUUAUUUAAAUGGCCCAUGAUCAUUUAAGCAAGUCACAUGUGGAGAGGAGACGGCCAGAAACAUCAAGUCAGGGGGCAAUGCCGCACCAGAAACGGGAUGUAGUGUAGAGAUAAAAAUAGAUUCAGAAUUUUGGAUGCAAAGUAGGAGGCACUUACAUUUUAUAAGAGACUUAGUGCAACUUUUAUGUAUAAUUGUAUUCUCUCUAUGUAUCUUUUAUCAAACAAUAUAAAUAGCUAAUUUACUCAUUGAUUAGAGAUUAAAUAAACCUUCUUAAGUCUACGUAGUAUUGAUUUUCGUAUAUUAUUUAUGCAAUUACAAUGUAUUUG
rnacentral:lncRNA from 1 species